rnacentral:rRNA from 1 species
GUAGUCUGCAACCCGACUACAUGAAGCUGGAAUCGCUAGUAAUCGCGGAUCAGAAUGCCGCGGUGAAUACGUUCCCGGGUCUUGUACACACCGCCCGUCACACCAUGGGAGUCGGAAAUGCCCGAAGUCAGUGGCCCAACCGGAAGGAGGGAGCUGCCGAAGGCAGGUCCGGUGACUGGGGUGAAGUCGUAACAAGGUAAC